rnacentral:rRNA from 1 species
CCUACGGGAGGCAGCAGUAGGGAAUAUUGCUCAAUGGGGGAAACCCUGAAGCAGCAACGCCGCGUGGAGGAUGAAGGUUUUCGGAUUGUAAACUCCUUUUGUUAGAGAAGAUAAUGACGGUAUCUAACGAAUAAGCACCAGCUAACGCCGUGCCAGCAGCCGCGGUAAUACGGAGGGUGCAAGCGUUACUCGGAAUCACUGGGCGUAAAGAGGGCGUAGGCGGGAUAGCAAGUCAGAUGUGAAAUCCUAUGGCUUAACCAUAGAACUGCAGUUGAAACUGUUAUUCUAGAGUAUGGGAGAGGUAGGUGGAAUUCUUGGUGUAGGGGUAAAAUCCGUAGAUAUCAAGAGGAAUACUCAUUGCGAAGGCGACCUGCUAGAACAUAACUGACGCUGAUGCGCGAAAGCGUGGGGAGCAAACAGGAUUAGAUACCCGAGUAGUC